rfam:Tortispora caseinolytica NRRL Y-17796 unplaced genomic scaffold CANCAscaffold_2, whole genome shotgun sequence.
GGGCGUAUAGUGUAGUUGGUUAUCGCGCUCCCUUCGCAUGGGAGAGGUCCCCGGUUCGAUUCCGGGUUCGUCCA